GCCUAACACUGCAAGUCGAGGGGUAACAGGGAGCUUGCUCUGCUGACGACCGGCGCACGGGUGCGUAACGCGUAUAGAAUCUACCUUGUACUGAGGAAUAGCCUUUGGAAACGAAGAUUAAUGCCUCAUAGUAUGUUAAGUUCGCAUGAACACUACAUUAAAGGCUACGGUAUAAGAUGACUAUGCGUUCUAUUAGCUAGAUGGUGUGGUAACGGCACACCAUGGCUACGAUAGAUAGGGGCCCUGAGAGGGGGAUCCCCCACACUGGUACUGAGACACGGACCAGACUCCUACGGGAGGCAGCAGUGAGGAAUAUUGGACAAUGGAGGCAACUCUGAUCCAGCCAUGCCGCGUGCAGGAAGACUGCCCUACGGGUUGUAAACUGCUUUUAUACAGGAAGAAACACYCUCACGUGUGAGAGCUUGACGGUACUGUAAGAAUAAGGAUCGGUUAACUCCGUGCCAGCAGCCGGGGUAAUACGGAGGAUYCCAAGCGUUAUUCCGGAAUCAUUGGGUUUAAAGGGUCCCGCAGGUGGAUAAUUAAGUCAGAAGGUGAAAUCCUGCAGCUAACCUGUAGAAUUGCCUUUGGAUACUGGCUAUCUUGAGUUUAUUAUGAAAGUAAGUUAGAAUAUGUAGUGUAGCGGG
rnacentral:rRNA from 1 species